UGGGGAAUUUUGGACAAUGGGCGAAAGCCUGAUCCAGCAAUGCCGCGUGUGUGAAGAAGGCCUUCGGGUUGUAAAGCACUUUUGUCCGGAAAGAAAUCCUUGGCUCUAAUACAGUCGGGGGAUGACGGUACCGGAAGAAUAAGCACCGGCUAACUACGUGCCAGCAGCCGCGGUAAUACGUAGGGUGCAAGCGUUAAUCGGAAUUACUGGGCGUAAAGCGUGCGCAGGCGGUUUGCUAAGACCGAUGUGAAAUCCCCGGGCUCAACCUGGGAACUGCAUUGGUGACUGGCAGGCUAGAGUAUGGCAGAGGGGGGUAGAAUUCCACGUNUAGCAGUGAAAUGCGUAGAGAUGUGGAGGAAUACCGAUGGCGAAGGCAGCCCCCUGGGCCAAAUACUGACGCUCAUGCACGAAAGCGUGGGGAGCAAACAGGAUUAGAUACCCUGGUAGUCCACGCCCUAAAACGAUGUCAACUAGUUGUUGGGGAUUCAUUUCCUUAGUAACGUAGCUAACGCGUGAAGUUGACCGCCUGGGGAGUACGGUCGCAAGAUUAAAACUUAAAUGAAUUGACGGGGUCAUAGCUGUUUCCU
rnacentral:rRNA from 1 species